rnacentral:lncRNA from 1 species
ACCAGCUACACCCCCAUCCUCAACCAGGUUGAACCCCCGAUAUCCCCCACCACCCAGGAGACCAGCUACACCCCCAUCCUCAACCAGGUUGAACCCCCGAUAUCCCCCACCGCCCAGGAGACCAGCUACACCCCCAUCCUCAACCAGGUUGAACCCCCGAUAUCCCCCACCGCCCAGGAGACCAGCUCUACUAUCCUUAAUCAGGUUAAACCCCCAAUAACCCCCACCGCCCAGGAGACCAGCUACACCCAAACCGAACCAAAGAAGACAGGGAGAAAGUCCUGUCACCCUCAAAAAACCCUCCAAGCAUGACACAGUCAACCCCAUCCAACCCUGACCAAGGAAGAGGAAAUAUGACUACAUGCAAAAGAGUGUCCAGUGCAUGUGGGACAAACGAUUUUCCCUAUUCUCAAAAUUCUUGCCAAUAGAACUUCAAAGGAGGUAAAUCUGCAGAACAUUGAAAUUCCUGUGACGUAUUUAUAGGCUAAUCCUAGUGCAACACCAAUUGUAGUUAACUUGCAGUGCAUAGACCUUGUAGUUAAAGUGGCAAUAUGUAACUUUUUGGGUGGCCGACCAAAUUCACAUAGAAAUGUUAGCUACAGAUCAUCAUUCUACUUGAAAGUAAGUCUAAGAAGCAGUAGAUCUGUUCUACAGUGUGUGUUAUUUCUAUGCUUCCUGUUCUUAAGUUUUGUUAUUGAGUCUUUUACUUUGGUUUUGUACAACAGCUUCAAACAGCUGAUAUUAGCUACCAUGACAUUGCGGAGCGAUUUCUGCAUAGUGCAGCUUUAAAAUAAAACAGACAUUUCUAUUUGUUGCAUAAUAAAGGGUCAGGAGCAGAAAGUGAGGUGGAAGCCAUGCC